rnacentral:rRNA from 1 species
AUUGAACGUUGGCGGCAGGCCUAACACAUGCAAGUCGAGCGGAUGAAGGGAGCUUGCUCCUGGAUUCAGCGGCGGACGGGUGAGUAAUGCCUAGGAAUCUGCCUGGUAGUGGGGGAUAACGUCCGGAAACGGGCGCUAAUACCGCAUACGUCCUGAGGGAGAAAGUGGGGGAUCUUCGGACCUCACGCUAUCAGAUGAGCCUAGGUCGGAUUAGCUAGUUGGUGGGGUAAAGGCCUACCAAGGCGACGAUCCGUAACUGGUCUGAGAGGAUGAUCAGUCACACGGGAACUGAGACACGGUCCAGACUCCUACGGGAGGCAGCAGGGGGGAAUUUUGAACAAUGGGCGAAAGCCUGACACAGCAAUGCCGCGUGUGUAAGGAAGGUCUUCGGAUUGUAAAGCUCUUUAAGUUGGGAGGAAGGAAAAUAAUUAAAACUCUUCUUGUUUUGACGUUACCAAAAAAAAAGACCCCGACAAACUUCGGC